CAGCGCCCCAAGUGGCGAUCACGAUUAUUGGGCCUAAAGCGUUCGUGGCCGGUUUGAUAAAUCUUUUGUGAAAUCGUCGGGCUUAACCCGACGGCGUGCAGAAGAGACUGUCAAACUUGGGACCGGGAGGAGUCAGAGGUAUGCCGUGGGGACCGGUAAAAUGGGAUAAUCCACGGUGGACCGCCGAUGGCGAAGGCAUCUGACUAGAACGGAUCCGACGGUGAGGAACGAAAGCCAGGGGAGCAAACCGGAUUAGAGACCCGAGUAGUCC
rnacentral:rRNA from 1 species